ACUAAUCGGUAACACGAGCGCUGAUUGCGAUUGUUGGUUCAAACAACUCUAGGACAUUUGAGCCUUCCCCUUCGUUGUUAACAGUAAAUACAGAGAAUACUAUCUCCACACAGAAGAACAUCACCGACAGAAGAACAUCAAACUAUUAAUAACUUUCCUCACACAUGCACAAUGUGCAUUGCUACCGGGUGUUUUGUUACAGUACCUAUCGCUCCCACCGAACCUGUAUGUUCUACAGAGCGACUGCCAGAGGAAAUGCGCUUACCAUGUAAAUGAAAGACGGAACGUUGAGGAAAUUGGGACUAUAUUUCAUUCGAUCGUUUGCUGAGCCUUCACCGAUGUGGCCAGGAUGAAUGGAAAGGAUUACAAACGCCAACACGACCAAGUUGACAUAGAAAUGGAGGUAAAGGGCGAACAAAAAACGCAUAGCCAAGAAUAUCGGGAGGAACCGGUUGAACGAAGGACACAAAGCCAAAAACAUCGGGAGGAACAGGACGAGCCGAGGACAUAUAGCCAAAAACAUAGGCUCGAAGCUGGGGGCAAAACACGUCGAAGUCGGAGUAAAAGUCCGCGGCCUGCACAGGAUGACUGGAAAAAUCCGUCUGGGUCUAUGAAAAACGGUGAACAUGAAAGAAAAAGGGACUCCACAAGAUCUGGCGAUCAUCGGCAACGCCGUCUUAGUGAUGAUGGUGACGCUUAUCAUCUGAUACGGGAAGCCUCUUAUAGAAAGGACCCUAGGCGGGCAAGUGAACCCGCAGCGGUUGUUAAGCCACGGUACCCGCCGCCGCCAGACCUAGAGACGUACCCUACCCAGCCUAGGAGUUUUCUUUGGUUGGCUAUGCUUACUGCUAUUGUGAAUAUAGUUUUUGGGAUUGCUGCUUUAGUUUGUGCCAUCACCUCAGAUAACGCUUGGGCAGCAGGACGCAGGGAGGAAGCAAAAAAACGUGGAAGAUAUGCCCUAGGUUUUUGUAUCCUUGGCAUCAUAUGCACGGCCAUCAUAAUCAUCGCCGUGCCAGUCUCCUACAAGUACAUGUCGCUUUAACGUAAGCACGGGAUGACCGCAUCGAAUGUUUUCGUUCACGGGUUUGCUCGCAAACGAGAACCAACCGGAAGUUGUACCAAAACAUUCUGAUGACUCGUGUAGCAGGAUGGAUGACUUUUGGCUAGUCUAAAUGAAGUUCAGGACGGUGAAUGUCUGCCAUGGCUAUCGGAAAGGAAAGUGAACGCUUCAUUCUUGAGAUGUACACGAUUACAACCGGAGAAUACAUCAGACAGGUCAUUUGUCAUUUGUCAUUGUCGAUGAUGAAAAGGAUGCCUCGAUGCAUUACGGAUGUACUACAUGUAAGAUUUAUACAUAACAUGUAUUGACACGAUGUUUCUUCAACACCAUCAAUAGUGCUGAUGAGAGAUGUGGGUAACGCCAAAAUGGCGCAGACUUUUUUCAUAACCGCGCCUGAAUUUGCUGAAACCAUGAUAUUUUCACGAGAAUCAGCGAGAACGGGAAGAGCGUGGUGAAUUUUAUAAACAGGAGAUGUCGCCUGAGCAGCAUUCGCGAUGAACGGUUUUUUGACCGAUUUUAUGCAAAAGGAAUUUUUCAUUGCGAUAACUAGAACUUGGUGUUGGCCAUCCACCACCCUCCGUAGCCAUGGUAACUUAUCGGCGAUUGGUUCAGUUAUUCUAAAGCCUAUUCCGCCGACGCAGGAUUGGGGACUUCUAAUUGGUCAACGCGACCGGAACCCUUUAAAGUGCUGCUUAUGAAUUCAGUAUACCGGCAACGAUACUUGCCACUAACAAGAAAUGUAAAUAUUUUACCAAUUUGUCUUCGCAAACACUUUCAAUAAUAUUUAAGGUAUUUGAAGAAAACGUAUGCACAGAAAUGUUACAACCCUUAUAUUUGGAAUUUUUCUAAUGAUUUUUUUCUUUGUGUGAAUUUUGAAUAAAAGGAAUUA